CAGCAGCAGCCGCGGUAAUACAGAGGGUGCGAGCGUUAAUCGGAUUUACUGGGCGUAAAGCGUGCGUAGGCGGCUAAUUGAGUCGGAUGUGAAAUCCCCGAGCUUAACUUGGGAAUUGCAUUCGAUACUGGUUAGCUAGAGUAUGGGAGAGGAUGGUAGAAUUCCAGGUGUAGCGGUGAAAUGCGUAGAGAUCUGGAGGAAUACCGAUGGCGAAGGCAGCCAUCUGGCCUAAUACUGACGCUGAGGUACGAAAGCAUGGGGAGCAAACAGGAUUAGAUACCCGCGUAGUCCCUGUCUCUUAUAC
rnacentral:rRNA from 1 species